GACGAACGCUGGCGGCGUGCUUAACACAUGCAAGUCGAACGGAUAGGCCCUGCUUUUGUGGGGUGCUCGAGUGGCGAACGGGUGAGUAACACGUGAGUAACCUGCCCUUGACUUUGGGAUAACUUCAGGAAACUGGGGCUAAUACCGGAUAGGAGCUCCUGCUGCAUGGUGGGGGUUGGAAAGUUUCGGCGGUUGGGGAUGGACUCGCGGCUUAUCAGCUUGUUGGUGGGGUAGUGGCUUACCAAGGCUUUGACGGGUAGCCGGCCUGAGAGGGUGACCGGCCACAUUGGGACUGAGAUACGGCCCAGACUCCUACGGGAGGCAGCAGUGGGGAAUAUUGCACAAUGGGCGGAAGCCUGAUGCAGCAACGCCGCGUGCGGGAUGACGGCCUUCGGGUUGUAAACCGCUUUCGCCUAUGACGAAGCGUGAGUGACGGUAAUGGGUAAAGAAGCACCGGCUAACUACGUG
rnacentral:rRNA from 1 species